rnacentral:rRNA from 1 species
GCAGGCCUAACACAUGCAAGUCGAACGAACCUUUUAGGUGAGUGGCGCACGGGUGCGUAACGCGUGGGAAUAUACCCUUGACUGCGGAACAACGUCUGGAAACGGACGCUAAUACCGCAUAAUGACUCCGGUCCAAAGAUUUAUCGGUCAAGGAUUAGCCCGCGUCUGAUUAGCUAGUUGGUAGGGUAAAAGCCUACCAAGGCAUCGAUCAGUAGCUGGUCUGAGAGGACGACCAGCCACACUGGAACUGAGACACGGUCCAGACUCCUACGGGAGGCAGCAGUGGGGAAUUUUGGACAAUGGGCGAAAGCCUGAUCCAGCAAUGCCGCGUGAGUGAAGAAGGCCUUCGGGUUGUAAAGCUCUUUUGUCAGGGAAGAAACGGUGAGAGCUAAUAUCUCUUGCUAAUGACGGUACCUGAAGAAUAAGCACCGGCUAACUACGUGCCAGCAGCCGCGGUAAUACGUAGGGUGCAAGCGUUAAUCGGAAUUACUGGGCGUAAAGCGUGCGCAGGCGGUUUUGUAAGUCUGAUGUGAAAUCCCCGGGCUCAACCUGGGAAUUGCAUUGGAGACUGCAAGGCUAGAAUCUGGCAGAGGGGGGUAGAAUUCCACGUGUAGCAGUGAAAUGCGUAGAUAUGUGGAGGAACACCGAUGGCGAAGGCAGCCCCCUGGGUCAAGAUUGACGCUCAUGCACGAAAGCGUGGGGAGCAAACAGGAUUAGAUACCCUGGUAGUCCACGCCCUAAACGAUGUCUACUAGUUGUCGGGUCUUAAUUGACUUGGUAACGCAGCUAACGCGUGAAGUAGACCGCCUGGGGAGUACGGUCGCAAGAUUAAAACUCAAAGGAAUUGACGGGGACCCGCACAAGCGGUGGAUGAUGUGGAUUAAUUCGAUGCAACGCGAAAAACCUUACCUACCCUUGACAUGGCUGGAAUCCCCGAGAGGUUGGGGAGUGCUCGAAAGAGAACCAGUACACAGGUGCUGCAUGGCUGUCGU